AACGAACGCUGGCGGCAUGCCUAACACAUGCAAGUCGAACGAGGCCUUCGGGUCUAGUGGCGCACGGGUGCGUAACGCGUGGGAGCCUGCCCUUAAGUUCGGAAUAACUCCCCGAAAGGGGUGCUAAUACCGGAUAAUGUCUUCGGACCAAAGAUUUAUCGCCUUUGGAUGGGCCCGCGUUGGAUUAGCUAGUUGGUAGGGUAAAAGCCUACCAAGGCGACGAUCCAUAGCUGGUCUGAGAGGAUGAUCAGCCACACUGGGACUGAGACACGGCCCAGACUCCUACGGGAGGCAGCAGUGGGGAAUAUUGGACAAUGGGCGAAAGCCUGAUCCAGCAAUGCCGCGUGAGUGAUGAAGGCCUUAGGGUUGUAAAGCUCUUUUACCCGGGAUGAUAAUGACAGUACCGGGAGAAUAAGCUCCGGCUAACUCCGUG
rnacentral:rRNA from 1 species